CCAAUAGCGUAUAUUAAAGUUGUUGCAGUUAAAAAGCUCGUAGUUGAAUUUCGGGAUUAGUACGUUGGUCGUGCCUUGGUACGUACUGGUGUAACUGAUUCCUCCCUUCUGACGAACCGUUAUGCCAUUAAUUUGGUGUGGCGGGAAAUCAGGACUGUUACUUUGAAAAAAUUAGAGUGUUUAAAGCAGGCUCGCGCUUGAAUACAUUAGCAUGGAAUAAUGAAAUAGGACGUUAAUCCUAUUUUGUUGGUUUCUAGGAUCGACGUAAUGAUUAAUAGGGAUAGUUGGGGGCAUUAGUAUUCAAUUGUCAGAGGUGAAAUUCUUGGAUUUAUUGAAGACUAACUACUGCGAAAGCAUUUGCCAAGGAUGUUUUCAUUAAUCAAGAACGAAAAUUAGGGGAUCGAAGGCGAUCAGAUACCGUCGUAGUCUUAACCAUAAACUAUGCUGACUAGGGAUCAGAUGAUGUUAUUUUUUAAUAACUCAUUCGGCGCCUUACG
rnacentral:misc_RNA from 1 species